UACGGAGGGUGCGAGCGUUGUCCGGAAUCACUGGGCGUAAAGGGCGCGUAGGCGGCCCGGCAAGUCAGUGGUGAAAGCCCGAGGCUCAACUUCGGGUCGGCCACUGAUACUGCGGGGCUCGAGUCGACUAGAGGCAGAUGGAAUUCCGGGUGUAGCGGUGGAAUGCGUAGAGAUCGGAAAGAACACCAACGGCGAAAGCACUCUGCUGGGCCGACACUGACACUGAGAGACGAAAGCUAGGGGAGCGAAUGGG
rnacentral:rRNA from 1 species